GGGUCUCAGUCCCAAUCCUGACCCCUGACUGUAGGGGAAGGGCCUGGGGGAGAGGCGGGGUCUUGGGGGACGUGCAUGAGUUCUCUCUGAACCCUGAGAGAGGGGACUGUGCUCACUCCAGGUCUCAGUGUGACAGCUGCUGUCGGAGGUGUGACUUCUGGGGCAUCAGGAGGGACCCUGGUGCUGGGGCCCCUCUCCUGUCCUGCUGAGGGGACAGAAGGCCCAGGGCAGCUGCAGUCCUUGUCCCAACAGUCCCAAUGUGCGUACCCACACUGGGGAGGAUGUAGACACUGAGAUGCUGUUCCCAAUAAGAGAUGAUUUCAUUUCAAGAACUGAGUUUAAGAAACAGAAAUAGGGAGUAGAGGGAAAUGGCCUACUUUCAGUUUCCCUGGUGUGGCUGUGAGGGGAAGGAGGGAGGGGUGCCGGGAUGGGGUGGGGGCGUCAGGGUCGGUCUGAGUGCCCCUGAGCUUCCUCCUCUCCAAAUGGGGGACAUUUGCAGGAUAAUGUAGAGAAGUUUAUGUUAUUUUCAUAUUGUAUACUAUUAGGGAAGUACAGUUAUUUUCUUCAGUGUAAUAAUAUUGUUUGAAAAGAAAGCUUAUUUUUUCAGAGAUGAAUAUUGAAAUAUUCAGGGGAGAGGGUCAUGAUGCUGGCAGGUGAUUUUCAAAUGUGUCAGCAAAAAUUACAGAAAUACAUAAUACAUCAGUAAAAUAGGACAGAAUAUCAAAAUGGCUAAACCUAGGGUGACCAUCGUGUUGGUCUUUCAAACUUCAGGUGUCUUUUAGGGCCCUGGAAAUACAGCUGUGAAAAUCAAAUCCCUGUCCUUGUCCUCAUAAAGCUUGUGUUCUCAAGGAGGGACAGACAGUAAACAAUUAAAUAAAUA